rnacentral:rRNA from 1 species
ACUCCUACGGGAGGCAGCAGUGAGGAAUAUUGGUCAAUGGAGGGAACUCUGAACCAGCCAUCCCGCGUGUAGGAAGACGGCCUUAUGGGUUGUAAACUACUUUUAUACAGGAAGAAACGUACCCUCGUGAGGGUGCCUGACGGUACUGUAGGAAUAAGCACCGGCUAACUCCGUGCCAGCAGCCGCGGUAAUACGGAGGGUGCGAGCGUUAAUCGGAAUUACUGGGCGUAAAGCGCAUGCAGGCGGCCUGUUAAGUCAGAUGUGAAAGCCCGGGGCUUAACCUCGGAAUUGCAUUUGAAACUGGUAGGCUAGAGUCUUGUAGAGGGGGUAGGAAUUU